CCCUUAGAUGUUCUGGGCCGCACGCGCGCUACACUGACGAAUGCAACGAGCUUAUAACCUUGGCCGACAGGUCUGGGUAAUCUCCAAAUUUCGUCGUGAUGGGGAUAGAUUAUUGCAAUUAUUAAUCUUCAACGAGGAAUGCCUAGUAAGCGCAAGUCAUCAGCUUGCGUUGAUUACGUCCCUGCCCUUUGUACACACCGCCCGUCGCUCCUACCGAUUGAAUGGUCCGGUGAAGCGCUCGGACCGCGGCCUCUUGACGGUUCGCUGUCGAUUGGCUGUGGGAAGUUCGUUAAACCUUAUCAUUUAGAGGAAGGAGAAGUCGUAACA
rnacentral:rRNA from 1 species